AGAUCCUCACGGUGAGAGGAGCUGCUUCGUGCUCACCCUCAGCCCAAGGAAGACUCCUGGGUAAGCAGGGGAGGGGAGGACCCCGCCCACCUCCCCAUCCUCAGGACCACUUUCUGAGAAAAGCGUGGUUGUCACUGAUUCACGGAGGAAGGGAAAUCAAAGCUCCGAGAGCUCAGGGAAUGGAGCCAAGGCCACACAUUGAGCAGUGGCAGAGCCUGGAUUUGGAGGCAGGCUUGUCUGACUGCUUCCUCCCACCCCCUGGGCCCCCAGACAGCACAGAGCUCGGUGUGCCCAGCUCUGGAUCUGAACUCCUGAGACGUGAGUGAUGACCCCAGGAGUCUGGUGGAUGUCGGGGUGCUCAGCCCUCUGGGAAAUUUGGUGGAAGCAGAGGUGGGUGGAGGAGGGUGGGGGUCAGAGCCUCUCCUUCUUUUGGUUUGUUUUUGUUUUUUGUAUUUUUUUGUAUUUUCCAGGGCCACACCUGUGUCAUAUGGAGGUUCCUAGGCUAGAGGCCGAAUCGGAGCUUCAGCUGCUGGCCUACGCCACAGCCAUAGCUAUGCCAAAUCCUUAACCCACUGAACGAGGCCAGGGAUCAAACCCACAAUCUCAUGGUUCCUAGUUGGAUUCGUUAACCACUGAGCCACCACAGGAACUCUGGAGCCUUUCCUCCUUUGCUGAGGCUGCUUGUGAUGGGGAUUUUUUUUUUUUUCUUUUUUCUUUUGGUCUUUUUGUCUUUUUAGGGCCGCACCUGUGGCAUAUGGAGGUUCCCAGGCUAGGGGUCGAAUUGGAGCUGUUGUCGCCGGCCCACACCACAGCCAUAGCAAUGCCAGAUCCAAGCAGCAUCUGCAACCUACACCACAGCUCACAGUAACGCCAGAUCCUUGACCUAGUGAGUGAGGCCAGGGUUUGAACCCGCAGCCACAUGGUUCCUAGUCGGAUUCCUUAACCACUGAGCCACGAUGGGAACUCCAGAGGAUUUCUUUUGAGAUACAAGGAAUCAAGGUUUGUUCACCCACCCUGAGUGUCUGGGGAUAAGGGAGGGACAGGAGAGCAAGCAGGGAGAUGGGGGCUUUGCCUUCCUGUCCCCGCUCUGGCCUCGGCUCAGGAUGUGGUGGUGGGAGAUGUAAGAGGUGGUUCUAUGUGUCUGGAAUCAGAAAGACAGCCCGGAGUGUGGACGUGAGAAGGGAUCACGGCAGAAUAAUCCCCAGCAGGAUCCCUGUUUUCUCUUCUCUCUCUCUCUCUCUUUUUUUUUUCUUUGUAUGGCCUCACCUUCAGCAUAUAGAAGUUCCCAGGCUAGGGGUCGAAUCGGAGCUAUAGGUGCCGGCUUGCACCACAGCCACAGCCACGCUGGAUCCAAGCCACAUCUGGGACCUACAUCACAGCUCAAGGCAACACCGCAUCCUUAACCCACUGAGCCAGGUCAGGGAUCAAACCGGCAUCCUUAUGGAUUUUGGUCAGGUUCUGAACCUGCUGAGCCACAGCAGAAACUCUUCCCUGGUUUUCUUAAGAUAAAAAUCUAUACACUCAGGUGCAUAACAGGAUGCGUGCGCGCUCAGAUCUCUGUUUAUCUAAGCAGACACACCUAGAAACUUGGGGGUUGUUAACAUCGUUUUGUCCCUCCUAAAAUACCACUGCCAGAAGGCCUGGUGUUGGCCUCACUUGAGCCCAUUGAGAGCUGUGUGAGCCUGUGCGAGUUGCUUUUCCAGGAGUUUUUUUGUUCAGAUUUCUUACCUGGUUUUUAAAAAUUAGUCUCAGUCUUCUCAUGUGGAUUUUAGGCUCUCUGUGUUGUGGACAUGCACCUUUGCCUCCCAUAGGUAUUGCAGACAGCGUCUCCUGGUGUCAUUGUGUAAUGACCUGGUUUAUUGCUUCUUUUGCAAUUUUUAAUGUUGAAGAGAUCAAAUGGGUCAGACUUCCUUUAUGGCUUUGUGUUUUGGUGAGAAAGAUUUCCUCAACUCAACAGUAGUUUUUAUCGUUUAUUCCGGUACCUUUGUAGUUUGUUUCUUUCUGGUUUACACUGUAAUCCCUUUGGGAUUGACGAUUGGCUGAUGGAUCGAUUGAUUGAUUAGAAAUUUUUGGUUUUUCCCUCUUUUUCUCCCUCCUCCUCCCCCUCCUUGGCUUCUUCCUCUCCUGUGCACCCCGACUUCUUUCCUCUCGUUUUUCUUCUCCUUCUUGAAAUAGGACACAUUUAAAGGACAUCUGCAAUGGUCAAAAGAGCACAGUCUUUUUCGUGUCUUCAAAGGCACCUCCAGUGCAGAAAGGCAUUGUUCAGAGUUUAGCUGGGACCCAUGUUUUUUUCUACACUUCUCUCUUCCUCGUAAAAAUAUCACGGCUGGAGUUCCCGUGGUGGCGCAGCGGAAAUGAAUCCAACUAGGAACCAUGAGGCUGCGGGUUCGAUCCCUGGCCUUGCUCAGUGGGUUAAGGAUCCGGCAUUGCCGUGAGCUGUGGUGUAGGGUGCAGAUGCGGCUUGGAUCCCACAUUGCUGUGGCUCUGGUGUAGGCCAGUGGCUACAGCGCCGAUUCGACCCAUAACCUGGGAACCUUCAUAUGCCGCAGGAGCGGCCCUAG
rnacentral:lncRNA from 1 species